rnacentral:rRNA from 1 species
CUUAAGCAUAUCAAUAAGCGGAGGAAAAGAAACCAACAGGGAUUGCCCUAGUAACGGCGAGUGAAGCGGCAACAGCUCAAAUUUGAAAUCUGGCGCAAGCCCGAGUUGUAAUUUGUAGAGGAUGCUUCUAGGUAGCGACCGGUUUAAGUUCCUUGGAACAGGACGUCAUAGAGGGUGAGAAUCCCGUAUGUGACCGGCCCGCACCUUCUACGUAGCUCCUUCGACGAGUCGAGUUGUUUGGGAAUGCAGCUCUAAAUGGGAGGUAAAUUUCUUCUAAAGCUAAAUACCGGCCAGAGACCGAUAGCGCACAAGUAGAGUGAUCGAAAGAUGAAAAGCACUUUGGAAAGAGAGUUAAAAAGCACGUGAAAUUGUUGAAAGGGAAGCGCUUACAACCAGACUUCUGGGCGGUGUUCCGCCGGUCUUUUGACCGGUCUACUCGCCGUCCCGAGGCCAACAUCAUCUGGGACCGCUGGAUAAGACCUUAGGAAUGUAGCUUCCCUCGGGAAGUGUUAUAGCCUCUGGUGAUGCAGCGCGUCUCGGGUGAGGUCCGCGCUUCGGCAAGGAUGUUGGCGUAAUGGUUGUCAGCGGCCCGUCUUGAAACACGGACCAAGGAGUCUAACAUCUAUGCGAGUGUUCGGGUGUCAAACCCCUACGCGUAAUGAAAGUGAACGGAGGUGGGAAGGGUAACCUGCACCAUCGACCGAUCCUGAUGUCCUCGGAUGGAUUUGAGUAAGAGCAUAGCUGUUGGGACCCGAAAGAUGGUGAACUAUGCCUGAAUAGGGUGAAGCCAGAGGAAACUCUGGUGGAGGCUCGCAGCGGUUCUGACGUGCAAAUCGAUCGUCAAAUUUGGGUAUAGGGGCGAA